rnacentral:rRNA from 1 species
CGAGCGGAAUUAUUUGGAUAGCUUGCUAUUUGGAUAAGUUAGCGGCGGACGGGUGAGUAACACGUGGGUAAUCUGCCUCGUAGACUGGGAUAACAGGCCGGAAGGUUUGCUAAUACCGGAUGAGUUCAUGUUUAUGCAUAUAGGCAUGAAGAAAGGGGAAACCCGCUAUGAGAUGAGCCCGCGCCCCAUUAGCUAGUUGGUAGGGUAAAAGCCUACCAAGGCGACGAUGGGUAGCCGGCCUGAGAGGGUGGACGGCCACACUGGGACUGAGACACGGCCCAGACUCCUACGGGGGGCAGCAGUAGGGAAUUUUCGGCAAUGGGCGAAAGCCUGACCGAGCGACGCCGCGUGAGGGACGAAGGCCUUCGGGUUGUAAACCUCUGUCUGGGGGGACGAGAACGGACGGUACCCCCGGAGGAAGCCCCGGCUAACUACGUGCCAGCAGCCGCGGUAAUACGUAGGGGGCGAGCGUUGUCCGGAAUUACUGGGCGUAAAGGGCGCGCAGGCGGUCAUGCAAGUCGGUUGUGAAAGUCUAGGGCUUAACUCUAGGAUGCCGGCCGAAACUGUAUGGCUUGAGGGCAAGAGAGGGAGGCGGAAUUCCCGGUGU